ACCAGGGUGGCUCAGUUGGUUGAGCAUCUGACUUUAGCUCAGGUCAUGAUCUCGGGGUCCUGGGAUCAAGCCCUGCACUGGGC
rnacentral:tRNA from 1 species